rnacentral:rRNA from 1 species
AUGUUGACAUCGAUAUUUAAUUCAUCUACGGCAGAAUCUGCUAGUGUUGAUGAGGAACUGGUUAUUACUGUGGAUAUUUAUGAUCCAAGCAAUUGUGGUAGUCUUGAUAACAAAGCAAGGGACAUAUUAGUGGAAAACGGGCCUAAAAGGGAAGAAGAAAACACUAAAUAUCCUUCGGAUGAAACUUAAAGACAUUUUUCGUAUAGCCAUUACUCAAGAAAAAUGAGCAAUGGAGAGGUGCGUGAUAGGAGAUGGUUAGUUUUUUCUUUUAUGAAACUUUAA